AUUGAACGCUGGCGGCAUGCCUAACACAUGCAAGUCGAACGGCAGCGGGUCGUAGCAAUACGAUGCCGGCGAGUGGCGGACGGGUGAGGAAUACAUAGGAAUCUACCUCAACGGGGGGGAUAACGUCGGGAAACUUACGCUAAUACCGCAUACGACCGAGAGGGGAAAGCGGCGGACCGCAAGGCGUCGCGCGGUGAGAUGCGCCUAUGUCCGAUUAGCUAGUUGGCGGGGUAAUGGCCCACCAAGGCGACGAUCGGUAGCUGGUCUGAGAGGAAGAUCAGCCACACUGGAACUGAGAGAGUGUCCAGACUCCGACGGGAGGCAGCCGUGGGGAAUAUUGGAAAAUGGGCGCAAGCCUGAUCCAACCAAUCCGCGUGGGUGGAGAAGGCCUUCGGGUUGGAAAGCCCUUUUGUACGGGAAGAAAUCCUGUCGGUUAAUACCCCGCGGGGAUGACGGUACCGUAAGAAUAAGCACCGGCUAACUUCGUGCCAGCAGCCGCGGUAAAAC
rnacentral:rRNA from 1 species